UAUUGAGUAAGAUAUAUAAUCUAUAAGCUUUCAAGGUUUGUAAAGGAACGGGGA
rnacentral:tRNA from 1 species